GCGCGCGCAGGCGGUUCCUUAAGUCUGAUGUGAAAGCCCCCGGCUCAACCGGGGAGGGUCAUUGGAAACUGGGGAACUUGAGUGCAGAAGAGAAGAGUGGAAUUCCACGUGUAGCGGUGAAAUGCGUAGAGAUGUGGAGGAACACCAGUGGCGAAGGCGACUCUUUGGUCUGUAACUGACGCUGAGGCGCGAAAGCGUGGGGAGCACACAGGAUUAGAUACCCUGGUAGUCCACGCCGUGAACGAUGAGUGCUAAGUGUUAGAGGGGUUCCGCCCUUUAGUGCUGCAGCGAACGC
rnacentral:rRNA from 1 species